GAGGCUGGAUCCACCGGAUCCACUGAGAAUUCCUAUGUUAAAUUUGGGAAAUGUUUAUACUAUGUUGUUCGAUCUUGAUUUUGGGAGAUCGGGCCUCAAAGAAAAGGGGAAAUAAUAAAUAAAUAAAAAAGGAGACAAAGAAAUAAAUAGGGUUUUCACCAAAAAUUCAUUUUCAAAUUUGCUAGAGAAGAGUGAGUGAUUCAUCUUUCCUAAUCAAAAGAUUUCCUUAAAAAGAAAGAACAAGGGGGUUCCUUCGAUUUUCUAAUUGCUGGCGGCUUGACCGCUUGUUUCUUAUCUUCCUAAAUUCUCUGGUGAGAAUCGUUGGAUCCCUCGCAAAUCGGGGCAAUCCUCUAAAAGAUGAUGAAGGAAGUUCUUUACAAAAUGGGAGAAUCUGGGUUUUCAAAAAUCGGGGCAGAGGAGCGAUGCCCCAAAGCAGCUCCCAGGGAAUGUAUGAGUUCUUUGAAAACUUCUCGCUGCUUCCUCCCGCGAUUCUCGACGGGAUAUUCUCCCCAGAGUCUGAACUUAACUCAUCUUGAAUCAUCACCCUCGGGCAUCGGUCUCCUUUAGCUGCACAUCGGAGCAGUAGCUACAGGAUCUGAGUCGCCGAUGCGUGAGGACCCUGUAGCGCGUGGGAGCUCGUUCUUUUUGGCCUUCAGUCGAUGAGAUAGGACUGAACAGGUGAAGACGAGUCAGGCUGUGCUCCCGACGCUCGUUCGUGAAGAAUGCCUCACACAUGUUUGAUAAUUUGCCUAAAUGUGGUCGUAUGCCGAGCUUACAACCGUUUAAUGGUUUGCUGAGCUGUUGAUUUCGAGAAUAGGCAGCCUGUGGCUGGUCUGAGUUUUGGUUUGGGAGCAUCCGUAGUAUCGAAGCCUGAGUUUGGACAGAAGGUGCUGGUUAUCCGAGACAGAGUUCAGGGUGUUUUUAUUUAUGUUUUUUUUUACUACGAUUUCUUUCACAAUGUUUUUGGAGUACACUUCCGGGCUGGGUUGUAUUCAAGAAGUUUAUGGGUUGCGAUUUCAUUUACUAAUAUUUUUAUUGAUUUAUUUCUUUUGCUUAACUUGCUUAUAAUCUCAUUUGCUCCAAUAUUUGGUGCGAGGUUAUGUUUCUGGAAAAUCGUCGUCUGUCGCCGAUCGUUCGAGCAGCUCCGGAUAUCACUCAUACCUAAUAUGGUUCAAGGAACGUAGCUCACAGUAGUAUAUGUGUGGAAGGGAUUUAGCACCUAGAUUUUUACGUAGCAGUUUUCGGCGGUCUGGUGAAAUUAUAUUAUGGGGGUUCAGCGCCGACAAGGUCAUCGCUGUAGGAGUGGCCGCCGAUAUGCUCGACGGAGGGUUCUGGUCAGGGAGGAAAAUCAUGCCCUUGAAGGAGCUGAGAUAAGGCUGAGAACUAGUUUUUAGAGGAUAUUUGAGAGAUGAUGAGCUCUUUGGGUGUGUCAUUGUGGCUUAGGCCUCGGAGCAAAGCUGUUUGUGAAGAAGUUUUUAGCACAAAAUAGAGGUGAAUAGAAAGGGACACCAAGGCAGUACAUAUAUAUACAAACCAUUGUCAAUACUAUUGUAUCUAUCUCCUUGCCUUAAAAGCAUUGCUGCUGCUCUUCUAUAUGGGAUUCGAAAACGAAGCCGUCAUUUAGAGAAAAAUUCAAAGCUGCCAUUCAAAGAAAAACAAAGUUGCUCUUCUAUCAGUCGAUCGUCACAGGAACUUCGCCUCUUUGCGUUUGUGUUGGACUUUGGGCUGGACUUAUCAUUGGAGUUGCGAUCAAAUUUCACACCAGCAAGUUGUUGAAGUGAUUAUCGAUGUCAUGGAUGGGAGCGAAUGAAGGAAGGGAAUGUAUUUCGAGAGGAAACAGUAUCAGGUGAAGCCACAUUUCGGGGGGGCAUGUGGCAUAGCUCUACAUUUGUUCAUUAUAAUGCUUGAGCUGAAAUCUCACGGAACUCGACUUCGUUAUCUAGAAUAUGCUUUGGCAUCUUUGUCUUAUUAUUAUUAUUAUUAUUAGGUUGUGAACAAAGACGUAAUCUUACCAAAAUUGCUUUGAUUUUGAAAUUGAUUUUCAGCGUGGGGAACGAUUCUCGGGGUUUGAGGCUGUGACAACUCUGCUUCUCGAUACAAUGGUAGAUUCCUAGCCCUACCAAGGGUUGAUGGAGUACUGAAGCCAGCCGUACCUAUUUACCGAGCCGACAGAGUAGCGUUCAACAAGCCUGCUCCUAAUUCGGGGGGAUUUCUAAAUACAUUUAUCAUUGGCUGUGGGGAGCUUCUCAAACUAACUGGGAAAAAUGGUAAAAUACGGAUAGGAGGACAGAUACUGACAUGGUUUAUGGGAGGAUCGAAACCCGGUUCUAGCGUUGCACGGAAUGUAUAUUCACUUCCAGCUCUGUUCAAGAUCUUUGGGCGUAAUAAACUUCAGCCCUGCUCAAGAUUUUUAUCGAUGCAAUGAAAAAUUUACAGCCUGUCUUCAUUCCCAACUGGAUUUAUCUCUUGGCGCAAGGGGAGACUUCCUAUUUACAGACCUGCGUGGGAUUCUUCUUCGGUUUCAGUUGCGGAGUUGAGGCCGUGACAGUCCUAUCUAUUAUUUGACGGGACUCUUGAUGCAGGGCGGGAUUUUCCAGCCAUGCAUCUAUUCUCGAAUUGAUGAGGGACUACGGGACAGCCCUGUUCAGGUCUUCUUAACGGGAUUUUUCCAGCCCUGCUCAUUAUUAUUUUCCACAUGGCGGACCCCUGGACCAUAACAACUCCGUGAUGGGCACGGGACAACGCUGCGAGUUGAUGGGAUAUCAAUGACCCUGCGCAUUGUUUUCUGGGCUUAUGACUUCUUGAUGAUUAAUCAACACUUCUUAAUUUCUUGUGAUCUAAUUUUGCUUAUCUCUCGGUUACAAAAUCAGGAGAUUUUUAUCAAUUUCUGAUAUGAAUAGAUGCGUGACGACUCAAUUAAAAUUAGAGGACGAGGCUGAAAAUACCGACCCAACCUUACUCAUUACUUCUUGGGGCAGCUGCACUACUUUUAUGCGGGGAUAAUAUCCUUGCACGUUAUCAUUCUGAAAUACACACUAUGACAGCCCUGUUCGUGGAUAGAGGGACAUAGCUAAUACUUCAAAUCUCUGGGGUCUCGGCAGGAGCAAAUGAGGCGAAUUAAGGGAGUCAUUAGAGGUUGUGAGAUUUGAAUGGGAUUGAGAUAGGUUUCUCUGCCAUCUGCAAAGAAGUGUGGCCGUGAAGAGAGGGAUAUCAGCACUGGGGUUAUGUAUACAUAUAGACACAAGUUCACCAGUCAUUAUUCUUCAAUGCUGGCUAUAUUUUUACUCUGUGUAGAAGCACGACAGUGCAGUUCAAGACCUCUUGGCCAGCAAUAGGUAACUUUUCAGGAAUGUCGGCUCAGUAUUUAUCCGAGUAUUGAGUUGAUGGGGAUCAAUCUGGCAGCCCUGCAUAUUACCUACACGGCGCAACGAAAACACCCGGUCUGCGUUUAUUUCAUGAGAUUUUCUCGGCGUCGAGGAGAGAUUUGCAGCCGCACAUUUAUUGUCAGUCCUGAUCGGGUACUUCUCGGGAGCUUGGGAAAGGCCCAGCCUUGCCAAGACCUCUCAGUAGCUUUGGAAAUUUCCAGUCCUGCUCGGGGACUUCUCGGAAGCUUUGGAAAUUGCCAGCCUUGCUCGGCGACCUCUCAGUAACUUUGGAAAUUUCCAGCCGUGCUCGGGUACUUCUCAGAAGCUUCGGAAAUUGCCAGCCCUGCUCGGCGACCUCUCGGUAGCUUUGGAAAUUUCCAGCCCUGCUCAGUGCUAUCUUCAAGAAAUUAAAAAAAAAAAAUAAUUGGCAUACUCAAAAAACCGGUGUUGUUGGAAUCUUGUAUUUGUGCAGGAGGCUUAUUGAGGGAUUUAUUAUGUUUCAGAUUUUGGAACUUCAAGAUUUUUUUACUAUCAAAAUAGUUUUUGAUUUGUUUA